GACGAACGCUGGCGGCGUGCCUAAUACAUGCAAGUAGAACGCUGAAGGAGGAGCUUGCUCUUCUGGAUGAGUUGCGAACGGGUGAGUAACGCGUAGGUAACCUGCCUGGUAGCGGGGGAUAACUAUUGGAAACGAUAGCUAAUACCGCAUAAGAGUAGAUGUUGCAUGACAUUUACUUAAAAGGUGCGAUUGCAUCACUACCAGAUGGACCUGCGUUGUAUUAGCUAGUUGGUGGGGUAACGGCUUACCAAGGCGACGAUACGUAGCCGACCUGAGAGGGUGAUCAGCCACACUGGGACUGAGACACGGCCCAGACUCCCUGGGGAGGCAGCAGUAGGGAAUCUUCGGCAAUGGACGGAAGUCUGACCGAGCAACGCCGCGUGAGUGAAGAAGGUUUUCGGAUCGUAAAGCUCUGUUGUAAGAGAAGAACGAGUGUGAGAGUGGAAAGUUCACACUGUGACGGUAUCUUACCAGAAAGGGACGGCUAACUACGUG
rnacentral:rRNA from 1 species